GGGAUGACUUCUGGCUGCUUACUUAGUUGCUGACAUACAUAUGUAAAUUUAUUAUGUACAUACAGCUAAUUUCGUACACCAAUAUGUGUUUUAUUUAUUUAAUUGGCAGGUUUUGUCUUCAGCUUUGUAAUAAUUUGUAUGUAAUUUUGUGUAGUUUAUGUUGUUAUAUUUGUUGGCUCUUUUUUUUUUAGGACUUUGGUUGUUUUAGUUUCAGGUUUGCGGCAGAUUUGGUAAGUGUUUUAAAUUGUAUUUUGGCUGAAUUUAAUUUUGUUUUAUUUACAGGUUUGGUAAUAGAGUGUCAUCAAUCAAGUUAGGUAAUUUAUGUUGUUAUAUUUGUUGACUUUUAAUGAGUAUAGUGUUUUAUUUUCAGGUUUAAAGAAAAUUGGUGUGAAAAAGAAAAAGUGAUUUCAAUUGUUUUUACGCCAAUUGUAAUUUUAUUUUAUCUGCAGUUUUAUUUUUUUGCUGGUUUGGUGGUAAGGUGUCACAUGCAAUGGCUGUUGCGCUUGAUGUCUACAACUUGUUUGCGUAUUUACUGACAUUGAUUGUUAUGUAAAUAGUUAUUUUGUACGUAUGUAUGUAUGUAUGUAUGUAUGUAUGUAUGAUAGAUUUGGUGGUAAGGUGUCAGUAAUCAUGAUAAAUUUGGUGGUAAGGUGCCAGUAAUCAAGGACCAGCUUAGAAUUUGUCGACAAAGUUGGGUGAAUCCAUGUAUGACGUGAGGGUCCUUCGCCACAUUUUAAUGCAGAUUUAUUCCAAUAUUCAUGAUAAAUUUGGUGGUAAGGUGCCAGUAAUCAAGGACCAGCUUAGAAUUUGUCGACAAAGUUGGGUGAUUCCAUGUAUGACGUGAGGGUCCUUCGCCACAUUUUAAUGCAGAUUUAUUCCAAUGUUUUUCUAUUUUCAGAUUCAUGAUAAAUUUGGUGGUAAGGUGUUAAUAAUCAAGGACCAGCUUUGGAUUUGUCGAGCAAAAUUGGGUGUUUCCAUGCAUCCUGUUUGACCCUUGUUUCGAUGACCAUGCAUUCCAAAAGGCUACCCUUAACGUAUUGGGAUUGUUGUUGUUGCUGCUGUAAUUUGUGUGCAUGAAUAAAUUUGUAUUGGCUGGAUGUCAAUGUUGCCUGUGAUAUUAACAUGAGU